rnacentral:rRNA from 1 species
AUUGAACGCUGGCGGCAUGCCUUACACAUGCAAGUCGAACGGUAACGCGGGGCAACCUGGCGACGAGUGGCGAACGGGUGAGUAAUGCAUCGGAACGUGCCCAGUAGUGGGGGAUAGCCCGGCGAAAGCCGGAUUAAUACCGCAUACGACCUACGGGUGAAAGCGGGGGACCGCAAGGCCUCGCGCUAUUGGAGCGGCCGAUGUCAGAUUAGGUUGUUGGUGGGGUAAAGGCCUACCAAGCCGACGAUCUGUAGCCGGUCUGAGAGGACGACCAGCCACACUGGGACUGAGACACGGCCCAGACUCCUACGGGAGGCAGCAGUGGGGAAUUUUGGACAAUGGGGGCAACCCUGAUCCAGCCAUGCCGCGUGCGGGAAGAAGGCCUUCGGGUUGUAAACCGCUUUUGUCAGGGAAGAAACGCGCUGAGCUAAUACCUCGGCGUAAUGACGGUACCUGAAGAAUAAGCACCGGCUAACUACGUGCCAGCCGCCGCCGUAACAC